rnacentral:rRNA from 1 species
GUGGGGAAUCUUGCGCAAUGGGCGAAAGCCUGACGCAGCCAUGCCGCGUGAAUGAUGAAGGUCUUAGGAUUGUAAAAUUCUUUCACCGGGGACGAUAAUGACGGUACCCGGAGAAGAAGCCCCGGCUAACUUCGUGCCAGCAGCCGCGGUAAUACGAAGGGGGCUAGCGUUGCUCGGAAUUACUGGGCGUAAAGGGAGCGUAGGCGGAUAGUUUAGUCAGCGGUGUAAGCCCAGGGCUCAACCUUGGAAUUGCCUUUGAUACUGGCGAUCUUGAGUAUGGAAGAGGUAUGUGGAACUCCGAGUGUAGAGGUGAAAUUCGUAGAUAUUCGGAAGAACACCAGUGGCGAAGGCGACAUACUGGUCCAUUACUGACGCUGAGGCUCGAAAGCGUGGGGAGCAAACAGGAUUAGAUACCCUUGUAGUCC